CCUACGGGUGGCAGCAGUGGGGAAUAUUGCGCAAUGGGGGAAACCCUGACGCAGCAACGCCGCGUGAGUGAGGAAGGACUUCGGUCUGUAAAGCUCUGUUAAUGUGGAAAUGGUACACAUAGAGGAAGCACCGGCUAACUUCGUGCCAGCAGCCGCGGUAAUACGAAGGGUGCAAGCGUUGUUCGGAUUUAUUGGGCGUAAAGCGCGCGUAGGCGGACUCGCAAGUCAGAUGUGAAAUCUCGGGGCUCAACCUCGAAACUGCGUCUGAAACUCGAGUCUAGAAUCUUGGAGGGGGAAGGGGAAUUUCGCAUGUAGGGGUAAAAUCCGUAGAUAUGCGAAGGAACACCAGAGGCGAAGGCGCCUUCCUGGACAGAUUGACGCUGAGGCGCGAAAGCGUGGGGAUCAAACAGGAUUAGAUACCUUGUAGUC
rnacentral:rRNA from 1 species